rfam:Methanofollis liminatans DSM 4140 chromosome, whole genome shotgun sequence.
GGGCCUGUGGCUUAGCCAGGACAUAGCGCCGGGCUUCUAACCCGGACGCCGAGGGUUCGAAUCCCUCCAGGCCCG